CGGCGGACGGGUGAGUAACACGUGGAUAACCUACCUAUAAGACUGGGAUAACUUCGGGAAACCGGAGCUAAUACCUGAUAAUAUAUUGAACCGCAUGGUCCAAUAGUGAAAGACGGUUUUGCUGUCACUUAUAGAUGGAUCCGCGCCGCAUUAGCUAGUUGGUAAGGUAACGGCUUACCAAGGCAACGAUGCGUAGCCGACCUGAGAGGGUGAUCGGCCACACUUGAACUUAGACACGGUCCAGACUCCUACGGGAGGCAGCAGCA
rnacentral:rRNA from 1 species